UACGUAGGGUGCAGACGUAUUGAAUUGAACUGGGCGUAAAGCGUGCGCAGGCGGUUCUGUAAGUCUGUCGUGAAAUCCCCGGGCUUAACCUGGGAAUUGCGAUGGAGACUGCAAGGCUAGAAUCUGGCAGAGGGGGGUAGAAUUCCACGUGUAGCAGUGAAAUGCGUAGAGAUGUGGAGGAACACCGAUGGCGAAGGCAGCCCCCUGGGUCAAGAUUGACGCUCAUGCACGAAAGCGUGGGGAGCAAACAGG
rnacentral:rRNA from 1 species